rnacentral:rRNA from 1 species
CCGAUCCUCCCACCCUUUGUGUACCUACCUCUGUUGCUUUGGCGGGCCGCGGUCCUCCGCGGCCGCCCCCCUCCCCGGGGGGGUGGCCAGCGCCCGCCAGAGGACCAUCAAACUCCAGUCAGUAAACGAUGCAGUCUGAAAAACAUUUAAUAAACUAAAACUUUCAACAACGGAUCUCUUGGUUCUGGCAUCGAUGAAGAACGCAGCGAAAUGCGAUAAGUAAUGUGAAUUGCAGAAUUCAGUGAAUCAUCGAAUCUUUGAACGCACAUUGCGCCCUUUGGUAUUCCGAAGGGCAUGCCUGUUCGAGCGUCAUUACAACCCUCAAGCUCUGCUUGGUAUUGGGCACCGUCCUUUGCGGGCGCGCCUCAAAGACCUCGGCGGUGGCGUCUUGCCUCAAGCGUAGUAGAACAUACAUCUCGCUUCGGAGCGCAGGGCGUCGCCCGCCGGACGAACCUUCUGAACUUUUCUCAAGGUUGACCUCGGAUCAGGUAGGGAUACCCGCUGAACUUAAGCAUAUC